AUUGAACGCUGGCGGCAGGCCUAACACAUGCAAGUCGAGCGGAUGAAGGGAGCUUGCUCCUGGAUUCAGCGGCGGACGGGUGAGUAAUGCCUAGGAAUCUGCCUGGUCGUGGGGGAUAACGUCCGGAAACGGGCGCUAAUACCGCAUACGUCCUGAGGGAGAAAGUGGGGGAUCUUCGGACCUCACGCUAUCAGAUGAGCCUAGGUCGGAUUAGCUAGUUGGUGGGGUAAAGGCCUACCAAGGCGACGAUCCGUAACUGGUCUGAGAGGAUGAUCAGCCACACUGGAACUGAGACACGGUCCAGACUCCUACGGGAGGCAGCAGUGGGGAAUAUUGGACAAUGGGCGAAAGCCUGAUCCAGCCAUGCCGCGUGUGUGAAGAAGGUCUUCGGAUUGUAAAGCACUUUCAGUUGGGAGGAAGGGCAGUAAGUUAAUACGUUGCUGUUUUGACGGUACCAAAAGAAUAAGCACCGGCUAACUUCGUG
rnacentral:rRNA from 1 species